GAGGGUAUAGCCCAGUGGUAGAGCGUGUACUCAGCAUGCACGAGGUCCUGGGUCCAACCCCCAGUACCUCCA
rnacentral:tRNA from 1 species